UAGCAUGCUCGUCGAACGAUGAAGCCCUUCGGGGUGGAUUAGUGGCGAACGGGUGAGUAACACGUGGGCAAUCUGCCCUUCACUCUGGGACAAGCCCUGGAAACGGGGUCUAAUACCGGAUAAUACUUCCACUCGCAUGGGUGGGGGUUGAAAGCUCCGGCGGUGAAGGAUGAGCCCGCGGCCUAUCAGCUUGUUGGUGAGGUAGUGGCUCACCAAGGCGACGACGGGUAGCCGGCCUGAGAGGGCGACCGGCCACACUGGGACUGAGACACGGCCCAGACUCCUACGGGAGGCAGCAGUGGGGAAUAUUGCACAAUGGGCGAAAGCCUGAUGCAGCGACGCCGCGUGAGGGAUGACGGCCUUCGGGUUGUAAACCUCUUUCAGCAGGGAAGAAGCGAAAGUGACGGUACCUGCAGAAGAAGCGCCGGCUAACUACGUGCCAGCAGCCGCGGUAAUACGUAGGGCGCAAGCGUUGUCCGGAAUUAUUGGGCGUAAAGAGCUCGUAGGCGGUCUGUCGCGUCGGAUGUGAAAGCCCGGGGCUUAACCCCGGGUCUGCAUUCGAUACGGGCAGACUAGAGUGUGGUAGGGGAGAUCGGAAUUCCUGGUGUAGCGGUGAAAUGCGCAGAUAUCAGGAGGAACACCGGUGGCGAAGGCGGAUCUCUGGGCCAUUACUGACGCUGAGGAGCGAAAGCGUGGGGAGCGAA
rnacentral:rRNA from 1 species